UUGGAGGGCAAGUCUGGUGCCAGCAGCCGCGGUAAUUCCAGCUCCAAUAGCGUAUAUUAAAGUUGUUGCAGUUAAAAAGCUCGUAGUUGAAUUUCGGGAUCAAUGUUUCGGUCAUGCCGUUGGUAUGUACUGAUAUUAUUGAUUUCUCACCUUCUAAAGAACCGUAAUGCCAUUAAUUUGGUGUCACGGGGAAUUAGGACUGUUACCUUGAAAAAAUUAGAGUGUUUAAAGCAGGCUCACGCUUGAAUACAUUAGCAUGGAAUAAUGAAAUAGGACAUCCGAUUCUAUUUUGUUGGUUUCUAGGAUCGAUGUAAUGAUUAAUAGGGAUAGUUGGGGGCAUUAGUAUUCAAUUGUCAGAGGUGAAAUUCUUGGAUUUAUUGAAGACUAACUACUGCGAAAGCAUUUGCCAAGGAUGUUUUCAUUAAUCAAGAACGAAAGUUAGGGGAUCGAAGACGAUCAGAUACCGUCGUAGUCUUAACCAUAAACUAUGCCGACUAGGGAUCGGAUGAUGUUAAUUUUUUAAUGACUCAAACGGCGCCUUACGGGAAACCAAAGUGUUUGGGUUC
rnacentral:rRNA from 1 species